rnacentral:lncRNA from 1 species
UUCAGGCUCACUCCAAGACUCUCUCCUGGAUCUUGGUGUGCUAUUUGCUAUCUCUGGCGAGGUGGGUGGACAGCAUCGCCGGGAGGUCGCGUGGGGGCGACGCUUCAAAGUGCCGCCCCGGACCCAGGCUGCUGUGCGCGCGAAGGUGCUGAGCUGCUGCACCGGAAUCUGCCGGUGUGGACGUGGGGAAUAAGGAGCUCACUGGAAAUUAAACCGCCCCUGGAACCGAGGCAGGCCUUCCUUUGCAGUUUGCUCCAGGAGUUGACAACUUCAGCAGAUUCGCAAGUUGGAGAGAAGAAAGGAAAAAAGGAUAGGAUAUCUCUGAAGGCCUGGAAGGCAAACAGUGAUGAGAGAACAUCAGUAAACCUCAACGGUAUCACUAUGACAUCUGGAAUUUUCUAGCAGAUAUUGGUCUAUGAUUUGGAAGUGACAAAAGAGACCAGAAUUAAGGAUUUAGAUUUGGAAAACUUCAGAGUAUGUGUGUGACCAGCAUGUUAUAAAAUGGAUAAUAUCACUCAAAAAGAAGAGUAUUGGGCUGAGGACAGAACCCUGGAAUGUGAAUCAAAGGAAAAGCAAGAGGAAAUGAUCACAGAACAGAAGAACACAUGAGUAGUAGAAAAUCUUAUUGAGCACAAAAUUUCAAGGGAUGAGAGAUAAAGUCAAAUGCAGCAGAAAAUUAUGAGAGAGAAGAACUCCAGUGUUCACAUGUAGGUGGUUUCAUGGGGAUGGUGGA